CGGAGCCUGCGGCCUCCAGCCUUGACCUGGGGACUCAACCCGCCCCGGAGCACUACUGGCCGGAGCCCACCUGGUGAGAAGCCCCUGGGGUGGGGCUGGGGGGAACCCGCCUUAACCCUUCUGCCACCUCUCUGGUCCCAGUCCGUUCCUCACAGACCGUAGUGGCUGACACCCACCCACUCCCUGCUUAAAUGCAGGUGGCAGAGACCCUUCCCUUCCCCAGGAGCCUAGCAGGUCUCUUUCCCCUCUAGAUCAAGGGUGUUGGAUUCCAGUCCCUUCAGAGUAUUGAGCUCUGUCUCUUCACCCCCUUUUCUUCCCUCUCCGUUCACAGACCCGGGGGGUGGGGUGGGGGGGGGUCUCCUUUCAGAGAUCCCGUCCGUUCCUCCUCCAGGCUCCAGGAGUUGGGGCCCUCAACCCCCUUCUCCCUCAGACCCAGGAGUCUGGGCUCCCAGCCCCUGGAUCCCUCCCACCCCCCAGGAUCCAGAACUUAUGGUUCAAGUCCUCUCCUAUCCCUAAGCUGUUUCCCUGCUGCGUUCGCAUGCGGGGACAGCCUCCUGACCUCCACUCUGACCCUGCCUCCUGUAGGGGCUCUACCCUCGCCUCAGUCCAGGUCACCAUCACAGCCUUGGCAAUGACCCUCGCGGCUUCCUCCCAGCGCUCCCAAAUCAUUCGCUCCAAGUUCAGAUCUGGUGAGAGGAUUCUCUCUGCAUGUAGGGAAGGAGUCUUAUGGGCCCCGGGAUUGAGUACUCUUCUUUUUUUUUUUUAACGUUCAUUUAUUUAUUCUUGAGAGAGAGAACAAGUGGGGGAAGGGGGGGGGAGAGAGAGAGAGAAUCCUAGGCGUGCUGUCAGCGCGGAGCCAGACACAGGCCUCAAACUCAGGAACCCGUGAGAUCAUGACCUGAACCUAACCGACGGAGCCACCCAGGUGCCCCCUGGGAUUGAGAACUCUUAACUCUGGGAGUGUGUAUGGGGGUGGGGGUCAGGUGGGAAGGAGGCCAUGGGACCCACAAGGCACGUGUCCUCUGUACAAAAGGUCACUUGUGCAGAAAGGAGGCCCCAGCAAAGGGCGUGAGUUUUUGGUGGCUCAACGAGCGUGCAAACGGCCAAUACAAUGUUCACGUAAACACUGAGGAGCAGGUGGGCGGGUAGGGGUGGGUGUGGAGAGUCGGGUACUGCGAAGGAACAGGAGCUGAAAUUGACAGGUGUGCAAAGUGGACGGGGUACACAGACUGGGGACUUUGGCGUGAGCAGCGUGGGUGAGGGGACAAGCGAGCUGUCAAGCGGCAAAAGCGUCACGGGUUGUGUUUUAGGUCCCAGUGCAGACAGAAAGCGGGCAAGUGAGUGGCGCUGGCUGUCAGUUCCUGCGCGCGCGCGCGCGCGCGCGCGCGCGGAGGGUGAAAUGCGCGUGUGAACGAGUGUGCUUCCGUGGCUGGGUGGGUGCGAAGACACCAGUGACCGAAGAGCCAAGGGGGUGCCGGGGAGUGCACGUGGAACGUGACGGAGCGGGAUCCUUGCUCCCAAGCUGGAAGCCAGAUCCUGAGUGUGCGGGGAAGUGUGUCAGUGUGGCUGGGUGGGUGCCAGGACAGGGUGAGCCAAGACGGAGAGUGCCACAGGGUACGAGUGCACAGAAGUGGCGUGCGUGCCAAACCAGGGCCCGGGGAGAGGCGUGUACAGAGGGGGCGACUGUGGGGAGGCCCAGGGGCACACAGGAGGGAGUGGGCUUGCGCAGAUUCGAGCACAUGGACCGGAGGAGGUGAGGGUGCAAACGGGUCCGGCUGGCCAAGAUGGCGAUGGUGCCUUGAGUUGGGUGGGUACGUGCUCCUGAAGGGGGGCCGGUGGAGCUGGGGGGCAGGGCCGCCUCCUGCCUGCACGCUGGCUGGCUCCCCGUCGCAGAAGGGCUGCGGCUGGGAGCGAGGAGCAGGCGGGAGGCCCGGGAAAGGGACCGGGCUGACAGCCCACCCACCCGCCUGCCCCGGGGAGUGUAAGGGGGCUGGGCGCGGCGCCCCGCCAGGCCAGGCUCCUGGACGCUCCCUUCCCGCCUUUCCCCUCCCACCUCCCUCUUUCCUCCGCAGUCCUCCAGCUUCGGAUCCACAGACGGUAUCAGGACCCAAGUAAGUGUGGGCCCUGCAAGGGAGGGGGUGGUGGCCAGACUCCCCUGGGGCCCAGCGGCCAGAUCUCCUGCACUGGUUCCCGAGCCUCAGUCCCUCUGCCAGGGAUACACUGAAAUCCGAUCCCGUCCUUUCCCGAGGACCCAAGAACACAGGUCCCUGGCCACCCUACCCCCAAAAGCUCCGCUUCCCGCUUUCUGGCUUUUCCCGCCCCGAUGAAACGCUUGAAUCCAGAUCCCGUUUCUUUGGAGAAGGCAGGCAUCCCAGACCCCGCAUUUGGCACACAUUAUGCAUCUCAGGAUGUGGCUUUCAGCUUCUCUCUCUCUCUCCUCAAGAAACCAGGAGUGCUGGCUGUCCCAGCAGAACCCCAGAAAGCUGCGAUUCGCAGCCAUCACACCCCUUGGUGACUAAGGACGCGAUUGCUGCCUUCCUUGAGAAUAUAACAAGUCUGGGUCCCUAGAACCUCUGCCUUGCAGGCUCCUGGGGUUUCACUCCUUGGCCCCACCCUCUCACGCCUGCGGUGGGGGGCUGUGGCCUGCAGGGCCCUCCUUCCCACACAGCCUUGUUCCUCCCUGCCUGGCUUGCUAUCUGCAGGCGUCUCGGGGUCCCUCACCACCUCUUCAGUCUUGGACCCAGAUCCAUGGGUCUCAGCCACGGGCCCUGCCCUGGCCCCAGCCUCGCCCUCGGGUCCCCCUCCUUUCCUCUUCAGUCCUGGGGACCUGCUCCCUGAAUCAGCAGAAUAUGGCCCUUGGAGGUCCCUGAAGGUGAGUCUCCACCGAGUGAAGGGAAGUACCCCUGAGAGUCUAGCAUUGUUCCUCUUUGCUGCUGCCCUUUUUGGCUCCUUUCUGGCGGGGCUGAGCUGACUGAUGCUCGCCCUACUUUGCAUGAGGCUCUGGGGCAGGAGAGGGGGCACAGAGCCGAAGCAUGUGACAUCACACCUGCUUUUACAGGAGUCUCCUAAGAUCUCCCAACAUUGGAGAGAGCCCAAGCCAAAGGGGAACUUGACAUACCACCAGUACAUGCCCCCGGGGCCGAGACAAGCGUCCAGGGUCGACCCCCAGGCCAAAAUGUUGGCUCUGGGUCCCCCUGGACCACCUCUGUGGGAAGGGACAAACUCCCAGCGGCCACCUCCUAGGUAUGCAUCCCGUUUUCGUUCUCUGCCGGAAAGUCAGGCCCGCAGCAUCUUGGACUCAAACCCAGAGUCCAAGAGCAGGGGAGUCUAGCCCCCAGCCCCUUCCUCUCCCAGUUUCCUGGUCCCUCUCCCGUCAGUUUCCAGGAGUCCUGGCUCCAGACCCAAGACACUGAGCCUCCGGUUCCUGCUCCCCAUGCACAGGGACUAGCCUCGUCGGAGACCCAGAACUUUGGGCCCUCUCCUUCCUCUUCACACGGCCCCCCCCCCCAACAACUACCACAGGAUGAAGCCCAUCCCCCUCACUCCCUCCCCGCCUGGAGUCCCCAGCGCCUCGCCCUCUCCACACAAGUUGGAACUUCAGACCCUUAAACUGGAGGAGCUGACGGUGAGUAUGGGGAGUACUUCCCAGGCUGGCCCUCUCCUUCGGGGGUGGGGGGGUUGCCCAUAAGUCUGAGCCCCCAGUCUCUGCCCCAUUGGAGAC
rnacentral:lncRNA from 1 species